rnacentral:rRNA from 1 species
GACGAACGCUGGCGGCGUGCCUAAUACAUGCAAGUUGAGCGCUGAAGGUUGGUACUUGUACCGACUGGAUGAGCAGCGAACGGGUGAGUAACGCGUGGGGAAUCUGCCUUUGAGCGGGGGACAACAUUUGGAAACGAAUGCUAAUACCGCAUAAAAACUUUAAACACAAGUUUUAAGUUUGAAAGAUGCAAUUGCAUCACUCAAAGAUGAUCCCGCGUUGUAUUAGCUAGUUGGUGAGGUAAAGGCUCACCAAGGCGAUGAUACAUAGCCGACCUGAGAGGGUGAUCGGCCACAUUGGGACUGAGACACGGCCCAAACUCCUACGGGAGGCAGCAGUAGGGAAUCUUCGGCAAUGGACGAAAGUCUGACCGAGCAACGCCGCGGGAGUGAAGAAGGUUUUCGGAUCGUAAAACUCUGUUGGUAGAGAAGAACGUUGGUGAGAGUGGAAAGCUCAUCAAGUGACGGUAACUACCCAGAAAGGGACGACUAACUACGUG